GCGCAAUCCACGUUGAUCUUCCACGCUCCCGGAUCCGGGAGGUACCCACGAGUGUCUUUCCGAGGCCAUUUCGUGCUUUCCAUAUGUACCACAAAAUGGUCGCGAAGGUCGCCUUUUGAUUUGCUGAGAUGCCGGAGAAGAGGAUAAAUAGGUGUUCGGAGGACUCCGGAUGCUCGCAGCAGAAAGGGCAAGUAGGCUCAGGUAAGAUUUUCCUCCGGCACAGGUUGAGUCUCGUAGGAAGACCUUCAGUACAUAAGCUCCACAUGAAGUGCCUGAUUCUGGGAUUAGUAUGUAUGUGCCAUAUUUCCUUCCAUAGUCUGUUGGGGACUUGAAAAGAAGAUGAUGCCUGAUUCUCUUUGUUUGUUAUGGUUGCUGCUCGUAGUCUGUGAUAUCCAUGUUUGACUUUGUAGUUCCCCGAGUGAUGCCCUAUCCAUAUUAAGUGGUCAGGUCUGGUGUUUAUGCUAAGUGUCGUUUGCUGGAUC